GGACUUCAUGUUCAUGGACUUGGAGAGGCAGUCCGGGAGUCCAUUCUCCCCCUUAAAAGCUAUGUAGUCAAGAAGGUCAAUGCCGACACGAUCAACAAAUUAUCAGGAAAGAACCUGGAAUUAGACCUUCAGGAAACCCAUAUUCAUGUGUGAAAUGGAAAAAUAUUCUCGCCUAGAGCUCAGGGGUGUCUUGAGAAGUUUCUGCCCUGUCCCUGUGGAAUAUACAAGACACAAAGAAGCCUACUACCCUGUCAAGAAGGCAGCUAAGGAUCUCCUAUGGCAAUACUCUGAGUUGUAACUCAAUGUAUAGCAAGACCGUGAAGCACUCUUUCAUCAAUCAAACUUGCUUUGAGUCCAGGACCAGGAGAACAUGUGACCAGCCUGUGACAGUUGCUGAGGCAGAGACUAGAGGUCUAUAGGAGAUAAUGUAUGCUUAUUACCAUUUAAGGUACUGAAAUUAGAAGAUAAUUGUUGCAAUUAUUAGAUAUCUAAGGCAAGUAUCAAUAGAAAGCACUAUAAUGUAUAUGUCAUAGCACAGAAGGGCCAUCAGGGCCACCAUACUGAUCCUUUAGUGUGAUGGAACACAAUUCCAACCCUUAGCACUUAGGACACUAAGACAGGAGGAUCAAACUUUAAAUAUAUGCCUGGGCUACAUAGUAAGUUAAAUGGUAUCUACAUUUAUUUACUGAAAUAUUUUAUAAAACAAAUAUAAAUAUCAAAUUUUACGGUCAAGGAUUAAGCAUCAGAUGAAUAAACAACAAAAAAAAUGAAA
rnacentral:lncRNA from 1 species